rnacentral:rRNA from 1 species
GGAUUUCUGUCGUGGUCAUCCGGCUCCGCCUGUAUAGGUGUGCGCCUGGUUUGCCCUCGGCUUUCUUCCGGUAGCCUAUCGCGCUUCACUGCGUGUGUGGGUGUUUUCCGGAACUUUUACUUUGAGAAAAAUAGAGUGUUUCAAGCAGGCUUGUCGCCCUGAAUACUUCAGCAUGGAAUAAUAAGAUAGGACCUUGGUUCUAUUUUGUUGGUUUCUAGGACCAAGGUAAUGGUUAAUAGGGACAGUUGGGGGCAUUCGUAUUUAACUGUCAGAGGUGAAAUUCUUAGAUUUGUUAAAGACGAACUACUGCGAAAGCAUUUGCCAAGGACGUUUUCAUUAAUCAAGAACGACAGUAGGGGGUUUGAAGACGAUUAGAUACCGUCGUAAUCUCUACCAUGAACUAUGCCGACUAGAGAUAGGGAAUGCAUUAUCCCAAUCUUCCCUGCACCUCAUGAGAAAUCAAAGUCUCUGGGUUCUGGGGGGAGUAUGGUCGCAAGGCUGAAACUUAAAG